rnacentral:piRNA from 1 species
UGCAAAGAGGAGUUUUCCUGAUGGGGAGU